UUCCGCGGAGUCAGUCCGUGAGGGCUAAGCUUCACGGUCGAAAGGGAAACAACCCUGACCAUCAGCUAAGGUCCCUAAGUAUCUGCUAAGUGUGAAACGAUGUGGCAGACCACAGACAACCAGGAGGUUGGCUUAGAAGUAGCCACCCUUUAAAGAUAGUGUAACAACUCACUGGUCAAGGUGUGCUGCGCGAAAAAUUCAACGGGGCUAAGCAGAUCACCGAAGCUAUGGGUUUACGCCGCAAGGCGUAAGCGGUAGGGGAGCGUUCGCAACUGCGUCGAAGCUGUUCCUAGAGGAAUGGUGGAGCGUUGCGAAGUGCGAAUGUUGGGAUGAGUAACGAAUAUGACAGGUGAGAACCCUGUCCACCGAAUACCCAAGGUUUCCCGGGCAACCACAAUGGUCCCGGGGUUAGGCGGUUGCUAAGGGCGAGAGCCCGAUGCGUAGCCGGUUGAUAUUCCGGCCCUCAUUUGCGACUACCCUCCUUUGACGCUUCUUCAAGUUGGUGCAGAGCUCAUGGAUAUGUUCUGUAUCUGGGAGAAGGAGACUGGAAAAGAAGGAGAUUAACUACGCAAGUUAGCCGUACCACAAACCGACACAGGUGGGUUGGUCGAGAAGACUAAGGUGAGCGAGCAAACCCUCGUUAAGGAACUCGGCAAUAAAGCGUCCGUAACUUAGGGAUAAGGACUCCCCCGCCUCUGGCGGGGGCGCAGCGAAAGACUUUCAGGCGACUGUUUACCAAAAACUUAGGUCCAUGCGAACCAGAAUUGGGAUGUAUAUGGGCUGAUGCCUGCCCAGUGCUAGUAGGUCAAAGUUCUUGCUAAUCUGGCGGCUGGAACCUAUCUGUUAGGUAAAACUGCUCAACUGCUGGCAUAAAUUUUAGGCCACAAAAUGUUGAGCCCCUAGCAGGUAGGCCCCAGCCUCUAGAGAGGUCUAGGACUCAAGCCCUAGUGAACGGCAGCAGUAACUAUAACUGUUCUAUGGUAGCGAAAUUCCUUGUCGGGUAAGUUCCGACCCGCACGAAUGGCAUAACGGUCUGAAAACUGUCUCAACGAGGGACUCGGUGAAAUUGCAAUGCCGGUAAAGAUGCCGGUUAACUGCAGCAAGACGGAAAGACCCCGUGAAGCUUUACUACAGCUUGGUAUUGUUUUACGGAUAUUCAUGUGUAGAGUAGGUGGGAGCUUCGGCGCCAAUGAAACACCACCCUUGAAUAUUUGUAAAUCUAACCCCGCCUUUGGCGGGAGACAGUGCUUGGUAGGUAGUUUGACUGGGGCGGUCGCCUCCAAAAGUGUAACGGAGGCGUUCAAAGGUUGGCUUAGCUCGUAUGGAAAGCGAGCUUUAAAGUGUAAAGGCAUAAGCCAGCUUGACUGCAAGACUUACAAGUCGCGCAGCUGCGAAAGCAGGACUUAGUGAUCCUCUGGUUCCUCAUGAAUGGGCCAGAGCUCAACGGAUAAAAGCUACUCCGGGGAUAACAGGCUUAUAGCGCCCAAUAGUCCACAUAGACGGCGCUGUUUGGCACCUCGAUGUCGGCUCACCGCAUCCUGGGGGUGAAGUAGCUCCCAAGGGUUUGGCUGUUCGCCAAUUAAAGCGGUACGCGAGCUGGGUUCAGAACGUCGCGAGACAGUUCGGUCCUUAUCUGCUGUAGUCGUGGAAACUUGAGGGGGUCUCUUCGUAGUACGAGAGGACCCGAAGGGGCGAGCCAAUGGUGUACCAGUUGUCCUGCCAAGGGCAUCGCUGGGUAGCUAUGCUCGUUCGAGAUAACCGCUGAAGGCAUAUAAGCGGGAAGCUUACCCCAAGAUUAGGUUUCUUAGACACCCCGAAGACUACGGGGUUGAUAGGCUCUAGGUGUAAGACCAGUAAUGGUUUCAGCCGAGGAGUACUAAUUGUCAAGUAGAACUGAU
rnacentral:rRNA from 1 species